rnacentral:rRNA from 1 species
AUACGGAGGAUCCGAGCGUUAUCCGGAUUUAUUGGGUUUAAAGGGUGCGCAGGCGGCCAUUUAAGUCAGCGGUUAAAUCGUGGGGCUCAACCCCAUUCUGCCGUUGAUACUGGGUGGCUUGAUUGCGGUCGAGGUUGGCGGAAUUCGUUGUGUAGCGGUGAAAUGCAUAGAUAUGACGAAGAACACCGAUUGCGUAGGCAGCUGACCAGACCGCAAAUGACGCUCAUGCACGAAAGUGCGGGGAUCGAACAGGAUUAGAUACCCUGGUAGUCCGCACAGUAAACGAUGAAUACUUGUUUUCGGCGAUAUAAUGUCGGAGGCAAAGCGAAAGCGAUAAGCCAUCCACCUGGGGAGUACGACCGCAAGGUUGAAACUCAAAUGAAUUGACGGGG